CCUGCUUCCGGUCCGGGAGCGCGGUGUGUUUGGCCUUUCCGUCCGGAUGGAGUUCCUGCUCCAGCUUCCUAGGACUGAGUCUUUCACGCGCCAUGGUCCCGGACUCAGGUCCCUUCCCUGAAGGGCCCCUCUUAAAGCUGCUACCUGUAGAUGCUAGGGACCGGGGCACCCAGCGCUGUCGCCUGGGUCCUGCCGCCUUCCGCACCUUGGGUGCGCGUGUGGGCUCGGCAGUGAGGAUCUUGCUGCCCGAAGGUGGCUCCUGCCUCUGCACUGCCUGGCCGCGGCGGGAUGGAGCUGAUGGUUUUGUGCAGCUGGACCUGCAGUGCGCAAGUCCCGGGGCGGCGGUGGGGGAGCGGGGUUCCCCGGGGACUCUCAGCCUGAGCCGCCUCAGCCUGGUACCCUGCCCGCCCCUGCGGCGCCUCUCUGUGUGGCCAGUGUUGCGAAUGCCCGCAGGCGCGCCGAGUGCCCCGAGUCCAGCCGCGGUGCUGGAGGCAGCGCAGGAGCUGCUGAGGAACCGACCGGUCUCCCAGGGCCACGUGGUGGCCGCUCCGCCGGGAGACCCAAGCCCUGUGACCGCCCUGCACAUCAUCGGCGGGACACCCAACCCGGAUCCAGCGGGGCUUGUCACCCCUCGAACCUGCAUCGCUCUCUGCCGGGAGCCUCCGUCAGCGGCGGCGCCACAGCCCGGGGUGUCCCUAGGGGGCCUUUCGGAGGCGACCGACUCGCUGCGGGAGCUCCUCCGCCUGCCGCUCCGCUACCCCAGCACCCUGGCCGCGCUGGGGCUGGCUGUGCCCCGUGGGGUGCUCCUGGUGGGUCCUCCUGGAGUGGGCAAGACCCAGCUGGUGCGGACGGUGGCCCGGGAAGCGGGCGCAGAGCUGCUGGCGGUGAGUGCUCCGGCGCUGCAGGGCUCCCGGCCUGGGGAGACGGAGGAGAACGUGCGGCGGGUCUUUCAGCGCGCCCGGGAGCUGGCCAGCCGAGGGCCUAGCCUGCUUUUCCUGGACGAGGUGGACGCCCUGUGUCCGCGGAGGGGCGGCGCACACCGGACCCCCGAGAGCCGCGUGGUGGCCCAGGUGUUGACGCUCCUGGACGGCGUCUGCGGGGACCGCGAGGUGGUUGUGGUGGGAGCCACCAAUAGGCCAGACGCGCUAGACCCAGCACUUCGCAGACCCGGGAGAUUUGACCGAGAGGUUAUCAUUGGGACUCCCACACUUAAACAAAGAAGGGAAAUUCUACAGGUUAUUACCUCAAAGAUGCCCAUCUCCAGUCAUGCCAAUUUGGGUCUCCUUGCAGAAAUGACAGUUGGCUAUGUUGGUGCCGACCUGACAGCACUCUGUAGGGAGGCGGCCAUGCACGCUCUCCUUCACAGUGAGAAGAACCAAGACAAUCCUUUGAUUGAUGAAACAGACUUCCUUGAAGCUUUUAAGAAGAUUCAGCCUUCAUCAUUUCGAAGUGUUAUUGGAUUGAUGGACAUCAAGCCUAUUGAUUGGGAGCAGAUUGGUGGCCUUGAAGAUGUAAAACGGAAGUUAAAACAGAGCAUUGAGUGGCCUCUGAAAUUCCCUCAGGACUUUAUUAGGAUGGGCCUGACACAACCAAAGGGCCUUCUCCUCUAUGGGCCCCCUGGAUGUGCUAAAACCACCCUGGUGAGGGCCCUGGCCACAAGCUGUCACUGCUCUUUUGUUUCAGUGAGUGGAGCUGAUCUCUUUUCACCUUUUGUUGGAGAUUCAGAAAAGGUUUUGUCUCAGGUAUUUCGACAAGCAAGAGCAAAUACUCCAGCAAUCGUGUUUUUGGAUGAAAUUGACUCAAUCUUGGGGUCUCGCUCAGUUAGCAAAACAGGAUGUGAUGUUCAAGAGCGAGUUCUUUCCGUUCUCCUGAAUGAGUUAGAUGGUGUGGGACUUAAGACAAUAGAAAGAAGAGGAAGUAAAUCAAAUCUACAGGGUAAAUACCAGGAGCUGAAAAAAAUGAAGAGAGUUUCAAGAAGUUUUUAAUCAAAAUGUCAUGAUUGUUGCUGCAACAAAUAGACCUGAUGUGUUAGAUGAUGCCUUAUUAAGACCUGGAAGAUUGGAUAAGAUCAUCUAUAUUCCCCCUCCAGAUCAGAAGGGCAGGCUUUCAAUUUUAAAAGUCUAUACAAAAACCAUGCCAAUAGGACCCGAUGUUUCCUUAGAAAACCUAGCAGCAGAAACCAGUUUUUUCUCUGGAGCUGAUCUUAGAAACCUCUGCAAAGAAGCUGCUUUGCUGGCUCUACAAGAAAAUGGACUGGAAGCAACCUCUGUGAAUCAAGAACACUUUCUACAAUCACUUAAGACUGUAAAACCAUCCUUAAAUCAGAAGGACUUGACUUCAUAUGAAAACUUAUUUAAAAAAGAAGGAUUUUCGAACUGGGAAGAUAUUUAAAAAUUACAUCUUUGUUCAAUUGUUCACAUUUAUCUAAGUGUGAGCUUGCUUUUGGUUUCCAACUUCACACUUUUAGACUUUGUGUGUAUAUUUUCUGUAAAUAAAUAAAAAUUUAGAUUUGGGGAUGUAGCUCAGUGGUAGAGCUUCCCUAGCAUGUAUAAUGCCCUGGUUUCAACCUGUAGCACUGCAAAAACAAAAUUAAAAAAUUUACACUUUAUAAACUAAGGCUUAUCCUACUUCUAAAAGUUAUAUUAAAAUACUGUAAUUUUCGAAGAAAGCAUAUGUUUAUUUUGUGUGUAUGUUGACUUACAUACUUAAAAAGAAGUAUGUAAGUAGUUAUUUUUGGCUAAUUGCUUUUUUGUAACUUUGAAAUAGUUUUAUGCUUACAAAAAAGUUGCAAGAAUAAUAUAAAGAACUCAUAUACUUUGUACUCUUAAUUCAGAUUCACCAAUUUUUAACAUUUUGCCACAUCUUCCUCGCUAGUAUUUUGCUGAACAAUCUGAGAAUAGAUUGGCAUGCAUCACUUAAUGAUGGGGAUACAUACUGAGAAAUGCAUAAUUAGAGGGCUAAGGGUAUAGCUCUGUGGAGCACUGGGUUUGAUCCUCAGCACUACAUAAAAAUAACUAAUGGUAUUGUGUCCAUCUGCAACUAAAAAAGAUUUUUUUUAAUUAAAAAAAGAAAUGCAUCAUUAGCCAAUUUUGUUAUUGUCUGAGUAUCAUGAAGUAUACCUGUACUAAGAUGGUUACAAUAUCACAAGGCAAUAUAAUCUUAUGAAUCUUCCAUCAUAAGUGGUCCAUCAUUGACUGAAAGCUUGUUGUGUGAUAUAUGACUAUAUAUGCAUCAUUACCCCUCAUCCCCUUCAUUGUAUAUUUGUUAUUAAAAAGGUUGUUUUCUUUUA